rnacentral:miRNA from 1 species
CUUUGUCUUCACGAGGCUGAACGC